rnacentral:rRNA from 1 species
GACAGAGGUGCCAAGCGUUAGGCGGAAUCACUGGGCGUAAAGCGCACGUAGGCGGAUGUGUCAGUCAGGGGUGAAAUCCCGGGGCUCAACCUCGGAACUGCCUUUGAUACAGCACGUCUCGAGUCCGGAAGAGGUGGGUGGAAUUCCUAGUGUAGAGGUGAAAUUCGUAGAUAUUAGGAAGAACACCGGUGGCGAAGGCGGCCCACUGGUCCGGUACUGACGCUGAGGUGCGAAAGCGUGGGGAGCAAACAGG